AGGCUGAGGCAGGAGAAUUGCUUGAACCUGGGAGGUGGCGGUUGCAGUGAGCCAAGAUCAUGCGACUGUACUCUAUCUAGCCUGAGAGAGAGAGCGAGACUCUGUCUCAAAAAAAGAAAAAAAAA